UACGUAGGGUGCAAGCGUUAAUCGGAAUUACUGGGCGUAAAGCGCGCGCAGGCGGCCCGCGAGGUGUCACGUGAAAGCCCCGGGCUCAACCCGGGAGGGUCGUGGCAAACCGGCGGGCUUGAGGCCGGUAGAGGUGGGUGGAACUCCUGGUGGAGUGGUGAAAUGCGUAGAGAUCAGGAAGAACACCCGUGGCGAAGGCGGCCCACUGGGCCGAUACUGACGCUGAGGAGCGAAAGCGUGGGGAGCGAACAGG
rnacentral:rRNA from 1 species